CGGCUGUAGCCAAAUUCAAUAGCUGAGAAGUUAACUGGCCGGUUGUUAGUGAGAGAUAACCUCUCCCGUUGACCAAUCUGCUUACCGAACUUCUCACAUUU
rfam:Morus notabilis contig24576, whole genome shotgun sequence.